AUUGUCGGUGUAGAGAAGCUGCCUGUAACCUAGUCAGGCAUUAUAUUACCUAGCUUUAUAACUUUAUAAUUUUUGCCAAUCUUAUGGUCAUAAAAUCAUCUUAUAAGCUUCUCUCUGCUUGGUGACCACUCUGCUGUUGAUCCACCAACCUCCAGCUGGUACUGAGCAUCUGCCAUUUUUCUGCUUUGAAGAGGCAGCAUAAGCAAGAGGACUCCAUAUAGUUC